GACGAACGCUGGCGGCGUGCUUAACACAUGCAAGUCGAACGGAGUGGCGAACGGGUGAGUAACACGUGGGUGAUCUGCCUUGCACUUCGGGAUACGCUUGGGAAACUGGGUCUAAUACCGGAUAGUCCACGCUGAGGGCGCGGCCUAUCAGCUUGUUGGUUGGGUAAUGGCCUACCAAGGCGUCGACGGGUAGCCGGCCUGCGAGGGUGUACGGCCACAGUGGGACUGUGUUAGCGGCCAGAGGCGUACGGGGGGCAGGAGUGGAGAACAUUGCACAAGGGGCGGAAGCCUGAUGCAGGGACGCCGGGUGGGGGAGGAAGGCUUUCGGGUUGUAAAGUCCUUUCGACAGGGACGCGGUACCUAUAUAAGAAGCACCGGCUAACUACGUGCCAGCCGCCGCGGUAAUAC
rnacentral:rRNA from 1 species